ACACACACACACACAUAUAUAUAUUUUAGCUUUGACAAACACAAAAGUGGUAAUAAAGAGAGCCCUCCUCAACCCAAAAUGUGAGCCACCUGUGGCAUCCCUUCCUCUUUAACAAACCAACAGACAAAAAUCUCUUGAGUCCUUUGCCUCUUUAAUAAUGUGUUGUUCUGUUUUGUAAUGUGUGCUUGGGUUUCUGAGGUGUGUGGGAUUGAGUUCUCUGCUUUUUUUCUAAAAUAUUAUAUGUAAAUGUAAAAAGUUAUUUAAAUAUAUAUUUUAAAGAACCCUAACUACCAACUUCUGUUGAAAAAAAAAAUCACUGCUGCAUUAAAUGAACCACAUCAUGUGUCAAUACUGUUGUCUCCCUGGAGGGACCUCAGGCCUUUGAAAAGCUCAGGGUUACACCUGCCUUAUUGAAAAUGAACCAGAAACUUGAAGUAAAAAGCUCCAAGGAACAAUACAAAGCUGCCUCAUCCUUUUUCCCUUUUUUGAGGCAAAUCUGAACUUCUGGGCUUCUGGGAAGCCACACCUCUCCUGCCCACACCUGUAGGCAGCAAUGGAACAGGAGGGAAGUGGGGGCAGUGUCAAGCUAUUACUGCCUAGGCCAACUUUAUUGGAGACAGUUCUGCCCAUUCUCUUCUGUUCCUUUGGUAGGUCUUUAUCCCAGCAGAGGCUGUGGCUGUGACCAGCCCUGUUACUAGGGUCUCUCCUGCACUCUGACCACCAGUCAAGGGAAGAGACGCUCUCACCCUGUGGCCUUGGAGUCUUUUGUAAAAUCAUUUUGGGCUUCAUGCCAUCAAUUGCAGGGGUAAUUUAAAUGGGGUGUGCAGGGUGGACACCCAGGAGGAAUGUUGAUUUAUGGCCUUGGUGUCCUGUGGGACUAGAGGAACAAGCUCUCCUCUCAGUAGCAGUGCACCGCUCCUUGAAAGGCAUGCUGAGGCACACUUGUGCCCAUGGGUCUAGGGCAGCCACACCCCUCAGCUGUUGCCCCCUUAGGUUGCCUUCUUGGGGGACAUAUGCUUGAACCACAAGAGUGUACUAAGCUCCAAUUGGACCAGUCCCCCAUCCCCAGAAACAGGCCUCUGCCUGGUGGCUGCAGCGGUUCACCUUGCCAGCAGAUGUCUGCUAGCCUGUCUGCCUGAUGCACUAUUAUGUACUGAUUCUCCACGAGACAGACUAUCAGAUAGUUCAGACCCAAAGGGUAGGCUUUUGUAUAUUUUUUCCAGCCUCUUUUUUUUUAAGGGGAAGAGUUUUUUAAACCCAAACCACUUUUGGUUGUUUUUGUUAUUGUUUUUAAGAUGUUUUGUUUAUUUUUAAAAGGGAGAGAGAAUUAUUUAAAAUCACUUCAGGGAUUGUAAUCCUUUUUAUUCAAAAUAGUCCUUGUUCUUAAAAGUAUUUUCUUUUCCUUAGAGGAAACUAAUCGGCUUGGCCCUGUGUUUGCUAACUCUUCUGGUCACUUUUAGUCAUUCAUUUAGCAGAUGUCUUUUUCCAUCAGGAAGAGUUUGGCCGAGUGGGUCUGAAAACUCGGUUACAGAAUGGGGACCACCUGGGUUGCCAGAGACAGAAAUGACCCUUCUUCCCAGUCAGGCUCCCAGGAAGUCAUCCCAGGGUCCAGAUUGCACAUUUGAGAUGAUCAGAAUACUUUGUUCUUUAAAACCUCGUCCUAGGAUGAGGGCAUUUGCUUAUUUCUAUCCAGAAUCUAACAAAAGAAGUCCCACGUCAGAUGGCCCAGUUAUUUGCCCUUUAGGAAGUGGCCAUAGUGAAAUUUGUUCUUCUGCCGGACUCUGGAGGUCGGUCCCUUGAGGCUAUGCCCAGUGCACCUGUUGCUGAGGGUGUGAGAAGGGCCUAAACUGUUGACAUGUAAUCGGGGCUGCCUUUCUUUCUGGGGCCAGGAGUAGCAGCUGCUAAGAACAGCAGCUUUCCUUACUGUGCAAGGGGGGGGGUGGAGGCACAGCUUUUAACAUGAACUGCAAAGCACAGCUUCUCAUUGUUGAGAUGUUUGUUGUUUCUGGUUUUCCUUUUUUUUUUUUUUUUUUUUUUUUGUGUGUGUGUGUCUGUAUGUGCAUAUUUCUCCAUUGGCUGAAACAAACCCCAGAAAGAUUUUGCCUUUGUCCUGCCUGGCUAGAAAACCAUUUCUCAGUACUCAUAGAUGAGUAGAGAAUUUGAAUGCCACUAGGCAGAGUUAAAAAAACAAGUUCAACUCUCCUUUGAAAAAAUGCUACUAGUGGGUGACAGGCACUUGUAAUUGUUGUAGUUUUGGACUAGUAGAAACAAAAGAUUUAGAGACAAUUAUCAUCUUUGUGUUGCCACAUCAGACCAGAAUAAAACCUAUCUUAUGCACCAUUUAAAUCAGAAGAAAUAGUGUCUAUGAAGUUCUGAGAGCCACAGUGCUCUCUUCUGUGCCCUCUUCUGGGGAGGGGAAGUGGAAAGGGAGUGUCAGUAGUGUGUGGUGAUUGUAUAGCCAUGGACAAGGAGCACCCCACUGUCCACUGGGAGCCUGUGUGUGGAAUAGCAAGUGUGGGCUUGAUACCAGCCCUGGGUGUAAGACAGCCAUGCCAACCCAAAAUCUAGAACCAGAUGAAAAUGGAAGUUAAGUCAUUGUGUACCUUGAGGUGCCUCUGUGGUCGUAGCUCCAGAAGCUGACCAUCCAUCCCCUCUCCCCCAGGCCCAGACCGCUGUAUCCGUGUCCCUCUUUAGUCCCGUGGUUCAGGCCUUUCCCUAUGUGCUUCUGCUCUCAAAGUCCACACAGGACUGAUGCUUUUAAAAUGUGGUCUGUAAAAGAAUUUGAAAGUAUCAUCUUUUAAACUGACCUGCAUUUUUCUAUUCCUUACAUAAACUUUUUGUAUCGUGUUGGUCUAAUGACACUAUUUUAAUUUUUUUUUUAUUUCUCCCAUAGCACUUAAUAUUUUGUAAAGAUUUUUUUGUGAUAAAAUGGUCUAAGGGCUCUUUUUCCACAUUACCAUUUUAAAAACUUUUAAAAGCUAGAAAACAACUUAUGUAUAUUCUGUAUAUGUAUAGCAGCACAUUUCAUUUAUGGAAAUAUGUUCUCAGAAUAUUUAUUUACUAAUAUAUUUAUCUUAAGCCAUGUCUUAUGUUGAGAGUGUGACAUUGUUGAAAUAAUCAUUGAAAAUGACUAACAAGGCCCUGUAAAUACAUGAUAAUUGCACACAGAUUUUACAUAUUUGCAGACCAAAAAUGAUUUAAAGCAAGUUGUAGUCGUCUAUGAUUUUGUAACAAAUUGUACAAAUGACUGU
rnacentral:lncRNA from 1 species